UACACUAGGUGAUGAGGCAGUAAGCGACUACACUAGGUGAUGAGGCAGUAAGCGACUACACUAGGUGAUGAGGCAGUAAGCGACUACACUAGGUGAUGAGGCAGUAAGCGACUACACUAGGUGAUGAGGCAGUAAGCGACUACACUAGGUGAUGAGGCAGUAAGCGACUACACUAGGUGACGAGGCAGUAAGCGACUACACUAGGUGACGAGGCAGUAAGCGACUACACUAGGUGACGAGGCAGUAAGCGACUACACUAGGUGACGAGGCAGUAAGCGACUACACUAGGUGACGAGGCAGUAAGCGACUACACUAGGUGACGAGGCAGUAAGCGACUACACUAGGUGACGAGGCAGUAAGCGACUACACUAGGUGACGAGGCAGUAAGCGACUACACUAGGUGACGAGGCAGUAAGCGACUACACUAGGUGACGAGGCAGUAAGCGACUACACUAGGUGACGAGGCAGUAAGCGACUACACUAGGUGACGAGGCAGUAAGCGACUACACUAGGUGACGAGGCAGUAAGCGACUACACUAGGUGACGAGGCAGUAAGCGACUACACUAGGUGACGAGGCAGUAAGCGACUACACUAGGUGACGAGGCAGUAAGCGACUACACUAGGUGACGAGGCAGUAAGCGACUACACUAGGUGACGAGGCAGUAAGCGACUACACUAGGUGACGAGGCAGUAAGCGACUACACUAGGUGACGAGGCAGUAAGCGACUACACUAGGUGACGAGGCAGUAAGCGACUACACUAGGUGACGAGGC